UACGGAGGGGGCUAGCGUUGUUCGGAAUUAUUGGGCGUAAAGAGCUCGUAGGCGGCUUGUCACGUCGGGUGUGAAAGCCCGGGGCUUAACCCCGGGUCUGCAUUCGAUACGGGCUGGCUAGAGUGUGGUAGGGGAGAUCGGAAUUCCUGGUGUAGCGGUGAAAUGCGCAGAUAUCAGGAGGAACACCGGUGGCGAAGGCGGAUCUCUGGGCCAUUACUGACGCUGAGGAGCGAAAGCGUGGGGAGCGAACAGG
rnacentral:rRNA from 1 species